CUUAUCACUAAAAUUCUCAUUGUAACAUCAGUCUAAUCCAAGUGAAAUGGUAUCGUAAUAGUAUGAAGUAUUGCAUAAAGCUGCUUUCAAUUUUCAUAAAACAAAAUGUAGUAAAAAGCUAAAUAUGAUCAGUGGCGGCUCGUGACUUUAGGAAGAGGUGAAGCGCAAAACCCAAAAUAUACCAUAAGCAGCAAAAACAAAAUUUUAUUAUGCAAAUUGGGUCCUAUAACGGCAACAUUUUAUAAAAAAAAUUCCCGAACGCGAUGGAAUUUACUUCCGAUAAACAAGAACUAAGUCAAUAGAAUAAGAACUUUGGCUGGCAGCGGCAUGCAUGCGCAGCGCCGUUCUGUAAAUUACCCUGCGUGUUUGUCCGUGCGUUGCCAUAGCAACCGUCGUAAGCGUGGGGGGGAGGUGUUGCAUCGGAUUAUUGUUUCUGCUAAUUGUGCUGCAUUGACACAUGCGGUGGCGGUCGCCGCUGCUGUUAUGAGAAUAUGUUUAGCGCACUCGGGUUUCUGAAUACUUUUACAAAUAUAUUCUUUAUAGGAUUACACUAAUUUUGAUAAAUCAGAUAAAAUAAAGAAUUAAUUUGUUAAAACAAACUAAAUUGUAAACGUAAAGAUGUCGAUUUUAAAACUCUUAAAUUUUUUAAAAUUUGUGGUGAAGCGGCGCUUCACCCGCGUCCCCUGAUGAGCCGCUACUGAAUAUGAUUUGAUGAAUCCCUGAUAAUCUGCUAAGCAGAUUAUCAGGGACUAAAAAAAAAGGACAGAUUUUCAAAUAUUGUUUAAUUUCUAUCAUGAAUAUUGACUUAAUUCUUAAUUUGAAUUAAGUAAUCUCCACAAUUGUUCAAUUCACUCAGUAUUGUCUAGCAGGCAGCAGUUAGGGAAUGUCUUGUAUGAUGGAAAAUUUCAUAGCUAUUUGUCCUCUUCCAUUUUGUGAAUAAUUUAGGGAAUCAAUUGUUGAAUUAUCCUUUUGUUUUGUUUUCAUGCCUUAUUCCUUAUUAGGGGAAAAGACCUUUGGUACUUACCUUAUGAUUGGAAGUGUACUAGGAAAUAUAAGAACUAAUUGUAUUAAUUUAUUUCCCAUAUUUUAUUAACAGAAAACAAACCCAAUAAAUAAUCAUAUAGAUUUUUCAAAAGUAAACAUGUCUUUUUCACUUUCUUAUGUUAUGAAUUGCUUAAGGAUACGUUAAUUUGGCAACCUCGCCCGCAAUAUUGAUAGCUGUGCGUCAGUUGUUUUAAAAAAGAGGGGGUUUUCGAUUUAGUAAUUGUCUGUACUCGACCCAUUAACCCAGUUUUUAUAAGUUACAUUUUGUUAGUUGUGGUAUUUUGUCUGUUAAAGAAUCCGUAGGGUGGAUUGUACCCGGAUUGAACUUCUUUUUUUAUUUUUUAUUACAAUUUUAGUACGGUAUGUAUUUGACGAAGUUUGUGUAUGUUUUAAUCGGGCAUUUGAACUCAUUAUAUGGUGUUUUGUAGUCGAAAGACGUGAACCUCUAAGUCGGUAGCUUUCUGGGGCGCGAUCUAAUAUAGUGGCGACCGUGACAGGAGUACAGAAGUGGCCAUUUGAGUUGAUAUUGAUAGGUUAGGUUAAAAAACCCUUCAUGACUUGUCAAUUUUGUGCAUUAGUAAGUACCGAUACAGUUAUUCCCUGCCGUUUUUCCGCGCAACAGUUGAUCAGCUUUCCGAGAAACGUGCGUAAACAAAUUAGUAUUUUUUAAAGUGAACUUCCAGUUAAAUAUUACGCGGUCGUGCGAGUUUUCAACAAGGUUUAGACUGACUGGUUUAACGUUUAUUUUUAGUCUAUUUUGUUUUCUGUUAUUGAUUAGCUGAAGAAGAAUGAAAAAGUUUCACGGUCUAUGUUCACUAAGAAUAGCAUGAAUUAGAACAGCUACUCAAAAACGAAAACAGUGUCACGGAAAUUAAGGUACUGUUCGACUUGUUGACUUCCAAAUCCGUUAACCUCAGGGCUCUGGAUGAACAAGUAUGCGCUCUUUUACUCGUGGAUGAUUACGUCACUGAAGAAGUUUUACUUAAUGAGCUGGAGACCAGGGAGGAGUAUAGGAAAAGGUAUGUGCUGUUAGAGCUCUAAUUUAAUGAGUACCAAGCCAAGGCAACAGACGUGGGUGAAAGUUAACAUGCAGAAGAGAAUUCUAGAGAAUUUUAGCAUGAUCUUAGCACAGGGUAAUUUUGACUUAAGAGGGUGGGAGCAUCUGGUGGAAGCCAGUUAAUGAAUGAAAAUUAUGGACCAUUAAUAGCUCCACUUCUUGGUUUGAGUUGGAUACUCACGAAGAUUUUUUAUGUAUUAGUGAGACGUGUUUGAGAAAUGUUAAAGAGCAUUUAGAUCAGCUGAUAACUAAACGCAUCGUGCUAUCCUUGGCUCAGAAGGUUUUUGACCCAAUAGGUUUUACUUGUCUUGCCGCCCUUGGCCCCAAAUUGUGGUUGCAACAAAUAUGGGAGAAGAAGCUGACUCGGGAUACGGCAGUGGAUCCGGAGUCAGAAUCUAUAUUUAAGGCUUGGUUAUAGGAUAUCUUUUUUUUGCUAAAACUCAGGAUUCCUAGAUGGAUUUUGGCGGGUCCAAAUGAAGCUGAGGACCUAAAGUUUUUUUUUUGUGAUGCAAGCAAAAACGCUUAUGUUACUGUGAUUUUUCUGAGAAGUGCUUUUUCUGGAAACGCUACGUUUCAGCGUUAAAUGUGUCUAUUGGACAGAUUCUUCCACAGUCCUGGCCUGGAUAUAUAGGCAUGAAAGUUGGGGAACUUUUGUACAUAAUAAGGUCAAAGAGAUUAAAAAAACUGUACUUCGAUGGCUCAAUGGCGACAUGUUCUGAACGUUUUGAACCCCUCCGACCUCCCCUCACGUGGAUGUUCUCCCCGUUAUCUAUUUCAGUCUAAAUGGUGGAAGGGUUUAGAAUGGCUGUUGCAGGACGAAGAAUUGUGGUCCAACCAAAAGGUUGAAGUGGAGGAAGCCGAGUUUCUUAUGGAAAAGACGAGGAAAAUAGUCACGUCUCUGACAAAUUUUGAAUUAGUUCAGGCGAGCUCAGGGGACUGGCAUUUAAUAUACUUCUCCUCUUUUUUGAAGACCGUAAGAAUGUUGACAUAGGUAUUUCGUUAUACAAACAAUUUUCGAUGUCCAUUACAGAGAAUCAGUGGAGAGCUUAAAAUAUUAAACCUGUUUGUUGAUGAAGAUGGUCUGAUUAGACUGAAGUCAUGUGUUAGUGCUCGGCAAGAUACCGAAUAAUUUAAAUACCCCAUUGUAUUACCUGCAAAACAUUAUGUAGUAUCGAGUACAAUUUACCAGGAACAUGUUAAAAAUUGUCACAUUCGUACUCAGGGGCUGUUGUGCAUUUUACGAGAGAGGUUUUGGAUUUUGGAUGGUCGUCUCCAAGUGCGUAAUAUGCAAGGUAUAAUAGCAAAUCGUUUAAAGUUAGUGCUAAUAUACUAUUUUUAGUGAUAAUGGUCGAAUUUUGUUGGGACUGAUAACGCUUAAAGUUAUCGAUUGGGAUGCUAUCGCGAUAUUUUGUGAGGCGGAACGAAUAAACUGGCGAUUUAUCUCUCCUACCGCGAGUUGGUGGGGUGGUUUUUGGGAGAGGCUGGUAGGUACUUUGAAACAACUGCUUCGAAAAAUGUUGGGACAGGCGACCCUAGCAUAUGAAGAGUUGAUAGGGGAUGAAACCUUUGAGCUGAACGAAAUUGCAUUUACCAUUGAAACUGCAGAAAUAAAUUAUGGACUCAUAGCACCAGCUGGAAAUCUGCAGUAUGUGUCAAAAUCUAAGUCAGGUCAUGCCAAUAGCACACACAAAAGAAAUAAUAAGUAAAUGGAGUAAUGGAGCUUUUUUAGUAAAAUAGAUUUAUCACAGACCUAUGCGCAGAUAGAAUAGUCAGAUGAAAGUAAGGGUUUAACAGUUCUAAAUAGGCAUAAAUGGUUGUUUUAAAUGCAUAGAUUAGUGUAUUGGUAAUGUCAAGUCCAGGAAUUGUCCAAGGAAUCAUAUAAAAUAUUUUUGCUGGUAUUGAAAAUAAUGCGAUUCUUUUGCACGAUAUUUUAAAAACGGGUAAAGAUGAAAAACACCAUAUUGAAAAUUUCUAUAUUGUUUUUGAAAAAUUACAUGAGUGUGGUUUAUGAGUUCAAAUGUCAAAAUGUACUUUUUUUUCAAAAACAGGCAAUUUUUUUGGGAUAUAUAAUGAAUAAAACUGAUUUAACCAUUUCAAAGGAUACGGUUAAAGCUAUUUUAAAAUUCCUAGUGAUAUAACAACUCUAAAAUCUCUUCUAGGCUUAAUACAUUUUUACGGAAAAUUUAUUUAGAAGUGAAGUAUAGCCCUAAUAGGCUAAUUUCAAAUCUUGAGGUUUGAUUUCUGUCCUUAACCCGCUAUACUUCACUUCUACAUCUAUUGGAAGGACGCUAAUUUUUGUACCAUGCAUUUCAACGAGGGAAAAUUUAUUUAUAAUUUAAGUGGUAAAUUGCAUUCUUUACAUAAAUUACUUAAAAUAAAAAAAGAAUUUGUUUCCCCAAAGUUGUUAGUAUACUAUAAUUCUAAUUUACCAGUAACUUGGGCUUGUGACUUAAGUUCAUACGCAUUAGGGGUGUUAUUUCUCAUAGUUACCCCUCUGGUAAGAACCGCCCUAUUGCUUACGCUUCGCGUACUCUAUCCGAAACCGAAAAGAAUAUUGGUGAAUAUUUUUGGCAGCAAAAAAGGCAUACCUAUCUAGGCUGCUAUUAGGCUUCAGAGAUGGAGAAUCAUUUUAAGUAUGUAUAACUAUGAAAUUAAAUACAUUAAAUACCUUCAUUAUACAGAAAAAAAUAUUGCCGACCCUUUAUCACGUUUACCUUUAAACGUACAAAUAGAAAAAGACUAUGACUAUUCUCAUAUUUUUUAAAAAAAAUGGAAAAUUUUCCGAUUGAUUUAAAAAAAAUGGGUUAUUUGUAAAAAAAGACGUGAUUUUAAAUAUUAAUUAUAUGGUUAUUGUUUUUAUGAGUGGCUAGAACCUUAUAAUAUUUCAAACGCGUUUAAAACUUUUCAUAAGAAACGUAAUUAAUUACAUUUAGAACAUCAUUAUAUUUUAUGGGUUACAGGGUGGUCGUCCCUAACAAAUUAAGAUAGUUUUUAUUCAGUGAGUUGCCCUUGACUUACAUGAAUAUUAAUAAGUGUAAGGCUAUGGCCAGAUCGUAUUUUUGGUGGACAAGAAUACAUGGAGACAUAGAAAAAAUGUGAAAAACAUGUAAUACUGUUCAACAAAGUCCACCUAAAAGUGCCUUGCACCCCUGCAAUAAAAAUGCUCCUUGGAGUAGAUAGCAUAUAGAUUUUAUGCAACCUUUUUUUAAUAACAAAUAUUUAAUUAUCAUUAACUCAUAUAGCAAAUAGUUUAUAAAACGAAUAAGAUAGAUGCUAGAAGUAUUAUUUAUAUUUUUAUUAAUUUAUUCUAGAUAUUCUUGUAUUACCACAAAAGAUUGUUUUUGAUAAUGGUCCUCUCUCUUUACUUCUUUUGAAUUUCAAAAUUACUUAAAAACCAAUGGGAUUAGACAAUUGUUUGCAGCUCCUUCCUAAGCAUCCUUAAAGUAAUGGUCAGGCGGAAAAUUGUGUAAAAACGUUUAAAGCUGUUUUAAAGAAAGCUAACAAGAAAUGUGGAUCAAUUUGUGGGACAAUACUUGUUUCUAGUUAUGUUGUUUGAUUAUCGCAAUAAACCUCAUACUGUUAGAGGGAUUAGUGCUGCACACAUUAUAUUUCAGCGUAAACUAAGAAUCAAAUGUGACUAUGAAUUCCUUAUUAUAAGAAAAUCUUGGAGGAAAAAAAACAAUAAAAAACAAAUGCAAAAUUUGCAAGAAUUUAAAGCUGAUAUUGCACGUUUCGUUCGAUUGGUAUAUCCAGAUGUCCAGGAAAGGAUCAUGGUACAUUUCAAGCAUGCCUGGAUGGACUCCGCGAUGGUGAUGUGAGGCAGGCCUUAUUACUAGCACAUCAAUCUAAGCUGGUAGAUGCAUUAAUACGAGCCCUUGAAUUUGAGGCUGCAAAAACCCGAAUAAGGGCGAGGCUUGUGUCCUGCAAGUGGUUCCGGACGACUUUAAAGAAUUGGUCAUACGGAUGAUUACGGAGGCAAUUAGGGAACAUAGCCGCUGGGAUCGGAAGUUAGAAGUGUGGCAAGACAGGUCACAUAAGAAGACACUGUUCAGGUGGCGCUAGUUCCACUCCCGCCAAUCUGGAAAACUAAUGAUGCGAUCACGACCUGUAUUCAGCAAGCCGCUAGUAAAUACCGCCCAGAUCUGCUUGCUACAGAUUGCCAAACGAAUAGAAUUUUCGCCGACGUGUGUGUGGUGGAACCCUCCGCACUGUGCAUUGGAUACAGGUGCUAAAAACAAUAAUAAGACCGGACAUAGAAAAAUCUGCAGCUAAGUUUCGGUGAUCAAAAUGGCGUCUACAAACAGCUUCUGAAGAUAGACGAUGAGGAAAAUAUUUUACAUCGAGAGAGGAAUAACAGUGUUCGAGUCAGCACUCGUUCAAGGCCACGGUUGGUGAAUAGUCAUGUUGGAACUUAAAAUGCAUGACGAGGCUGUUGAGCGAGGGCUAAUAGUGGGAAAGAUCCCUCGUAAGAUGGGGUACGUGUUGUAAAAAGUAUUCCUUUGAGGGUGAUGAACGUCAAUAAUUUUUCUGUAAUAUUAAAAAAUAUAAAUGUAAGUAUUGUAAGGAGUAUUCCUGUGAGGGUGAUGAACGUCAAUCAUUUUCUGUAAUGUUAAAAAAUAACACGGAAUUAGGACACUGGUCUACAGUUUAAGCAGUACUUCGACAAGUUGCGGAUGUGGAAAUCAAAGAGGAAGCCACUUCGAAAUUUAAAUUCAAAGUUUUAUUCUCCAACAGCAAACAAAUCUUAAUAAUAAGACAAUUAUUCAAAUAUAGGCAGAUAAUACAUUACUAAAUCUAUAGUAAUGUAACAAAUACCAAACCCGCUAACUGGUGCAAUAUACAACUAAUAGUUGUUGGUUGUUAGGUGAAUACUUAAUGUAUUACUUAAUAUCUAACUCUAUCGGAAAUAACAGACUUAAAAUUAUUCAAAGGCAUGCCAGACAGAUCAACAUCAAUCCGUAACUGAACUAGGGAAUAUUUAGAAGAGUAGACUGGUAUUGUCGCCUGGUACUGGUCUAAGGCCAGAUAAAAGAAGGAGUCUGGUCUGAUAUUAAAAAGACAGCGAGGAACAACAUAUUCCAGUACAAAAUUAGUACAAGAGCUCGUCCCAUCGGGCCGACAGUUAGAAUACUACCACUGGCCGAGACCGAUAACAUUGUUGAGAGUAUGGCUAUGGCGUCAUAGAACUAUCUAGCAGAUCAUUGUCUUCACCGGUAGUACUGCUAAAGAAGAAAGCCAGCUAUCCUCUUCCCCUUAUUAAUGACACUUUAGCUUGAUGAUUUUCUCACGCUAGACCUGAAAAGUGGAUACUGACUGGAAGUUGAGUUCGGUUUCGGAAGAUCGGGAAAAGACGGCUUUCACAGUGAACUUCAUUACUUCUUUCACGGUUAACUUUAUUCCAUUUGGACUGUGCAAUACUUCUGCCACUUUUGAAGGCCAAUGGAAACGUUUUUAAAAGGACUGUCGUGGAAGACUUAUCUGGUUUACCUAGGUGACAUUAUUGUGGUAGGAAAACCAUUUAAGGAUCACAUGAAGAAUCUAAAAAGUGUUCCUAAGUCUACGAGUUUUUGGACUAAAGUUGAGCCGAAAGAAAUGUUAUCUGUUUCAAAGGGCUGUGCAUCUGGGUCACGAUGUUUCCAGUCAAGGAGUUGUGGAGCAUUGCGCUGAGCCAAGUGGGCACACCGUAUGGCAACUUUGGACUUUGGUGGAAGGUUAGCGAGUCUUUCGGAACUACGGUCUAGUUAGUAUAUAGGGUGCACCUUCAGUCAGGAAUAUAGUUCAAAUCGGAACCAGGCGUAAUAUUAGAAAAACAACUUUUUUUACGUUAUUUACGAAAUCCUCUUUAAAUUUUUUUUUUUGUUUAAUUUAGGCACGCUGGCGUUUCUAUUAAACUGUCAAAUUAUUUGUUUUUAUUACUUAGAUAUUAGUUUACUAUUGUUUAUUAUUUUCAGAUCAGAGGAUUUAUCUUGUUUGAAGUUUGGUUUCGCUGUCGAUUGUUUUUAUACAAGUACUUUAUAGUAACUUGUGUCAUCAUCUUACACUAUUUAUCUUAGGUAAUUUAUACAGUGUCUCCAAAAAGUCUGGAAAAAUACCCGGUUGAAAAUCUCUUUUAUUUUUUUUGCAUGAUUUUAGAUUUCUGAAAAAUAUACAAGGUGCGUCAAGAAGACUGAGCAGCUGUCAAUUUUAUUAUUUUAAAGAGUCACACAAUAAAGUACCGAGAGUUAAAUAAUUUAGAUUUUAAAGUUUUUAAAAAUUUUGAUUUUCAAUUGUUAAUAUUUCGAAAACAGUUCAAGAUUGAUAUAGGAUGUUAUACAUGAAAUGCAUUUAGAAUUUAUCAUAAAACCCAAAAAUACAUUAAUAAAUGUGGUGUUCUGUUUAAAAUAGCAAAGUUGACAGCUACUCAGGCUUUUUGACGCACCCUGUAUACUUGAAAACAUGCAAGAAAAAUAAAAGAGAAUUGACGUGUGUUAGCGUUUUUCAACCAGGUAAUUCGUUUACCUGUAAAAAAUAUUUUUUCAGGCUUUUUGGACACACUGUAUAUAUAAAUGUGUGAAUGUCUGUCAGAGCAUUACGCCUAAACUGCGCUAUGGAAUAAUAAUGCACUUGUUUUUGUCCGACGAUGUUAUAGUUUAUAGAAUGUUAUGGUUUUAAUCGCGGAUUCGUCGUUGAUUUUGCAAUAGCGUCACGCGAAUGUUGAACAAUAGAAUCAUAUGAUCAUUUUCCCGCAGCGCCUUCAGUACUAGCGUCAUUCCGUACUACUUACAGACUAAAGUCGAUAAUUCAUUCUACUUCCACGCGAGCCAAAGCGCGGGUUCGCGGAUGAGGAUAAUUUUCUAUAAAUGGGAUUUUUGUUGCCCUUGAACUAAAAGUAUGAUGGCUUUCUCCAGGGUGUACUAUUAUGCAAAGCAAAAUGAUAAACAGAAGUCCUUUCUAUUUUACAAUGUUUAUUUCCAAUUAAUCCCGACGCAUUUUCGGUUUUUACACUAAUGCCAAGGGAGAAAUGAUAUUGUCACAAAACAUCUAUAAACACAUUAAAAUUUACGGUACAAUGAUAAUAUAUCAAACAAUAAAUAUCAUUCGUCAUUUACUGGCAAAUAUUUACUAUUUUAUUUUUUAAUUUAUCUUUUGUAUUAUAUCAUUUAUUAAAAGUGUAAUAAAGCAAUUUAAAUAGUUUAUGAAUUUAAUUUUUCAAAGUGCAUUGAAGACUUUAAACGUAAAUAUCUCAAAAAGGGUAAAUCGCAGGGAAACUUUCGAGGUAUACCCUUUUUAAGCAGAACUGUUUUCAAAAUGCAUAUUUUAAAUAAAAAAUUAAACUAUGCCAAACCUAAAAAAGUUACGGAGUUUACAAAAAAAAUCAAAAUAUUGCUGGUGGCGCCCUCUAUGGCGUAAUUUAUAAAAAGGCCAAUUUUAAGAGUUGCUAUAUAAGAAAUAAAACACAUUUCAAAUUUUGUUAAAAACAAAGAAUGAGUGCUAAAUUUAUGGCCAAAUUUCAAAAAAGUUACAUUAAGUUUAUUACCCUGUAUUUUAGAAAAUUUUUCUUAACCUAUUUUUUCUUUAAAAAGGAAUCUGCAGUUAAAUUAUUUACCGUUAUUUAUGUGACACCCUAUAUAACUACAUUUUUAAUAAAUAUUUCAAAUUGCAACAAAAUAGUUCUUAAAUAUGUUUUAAAUUAUAUUAAUAUACAAUAUUAAUAUAAUUUGCGACGUGUAAAUUAUAAAAAGUUUUAUCGUCAUAUAUGACUGAUCAAAUUUUAUUCAAAUUUAAAUAUUCAUACAAUACAUUUGAGUUCUUCAUAGACAUUGUUUUCAUUGUCAAAAAUUUUGUUUAAUUGGCACCGAGAGGUUGAUACCCCUGUAUGUGCACUGAAAUAUUACUUAUAUACUACUUCCUAAAAAUGUAAAUGUAUCAUAUUAUAUUCACUCAUUUUCCUAUUUAUUUACAAGUGUGGAAUUAAAUACUAUUUUUCUACCCUAUGAUAUAAGUUUAGAAAAAGUUUCAUAAUUAUUUACAAUAAAGUCCUUACACCUUUCAUUACAAAUCUUAAUCCUACUUAUAGUUUGAAUUUUAAAUUUAUAGUUUUUUUAUUUGGUGGUAUAAAGUGUCUAUUAACAUUUGCUCUUGUUUGAUGAUGAUGGUAUACGAUUUUUUUUAGUGUUUCUUUUUUAUGUAUAUAUGUACAAAUAUAAUGUAUGUAUAAAAGUCUAAGUUGCAUAUAUCGCCUAGCUUUCCUAAAAAUUAUCUUUAAUAUGGAUUUUUAUAUUACCCGUAAUGGUUGUAAAUUACUUCUGUAUGUACUCCCCCUCCCCCAUACUACAAGGCCGUACCGCAGCAAUGAUUCCACCAGAGAUUUAUAUCCUAAUUUGAUCAGUUUAAUGCAGAGAAAUUCUUUAAGAAGAUAAAAUUUAUGAAUUAAGGUGCGAACUUUUUUUGUGAGAUAUAUGUUCGGUCCAUUUUAAAUACUGAUCAAUAACUAUUCCUAAAUAUUUAGUUUUCUUUAUUUUUUUCUUUUUUUUCGGAUAUCUCCGUAAGUAUCCGGAAUUUUAAAAUUUUUUAAACGUCAUUUUCUUAAGCUUCAAAUUGCGCAACUAUGCCUCCAUUUAACCGACCCCGUAACUCUUACGGUUUCCGAGAUCUCAAUGGUCACCCUCGAAUUUGGGACACCCUGUACAUGUUUAAUAAUUCGGCGGAAAUUCCAUCCUUUCCUGGAUCACUAUAAUUUUUUUAUGUAAAUAUUUGUUUGAUAAGUUUGCUUGUCGUUACUGGCGUAUAUAAAUAUUUUUGAGGCGUUUUUUUACAAAUUGAGGGUAAUUCAUGUUUUUUAUUUUUUUCUCCAUUUCCACACCAAUGUUAUUAAAAUGUGUAUUGCAAUAAUUUGCCAUUUCAAGAGUACUUGGAAAACUGUGAUUAUUUUUAUUUACAAACGCAUGAUUGGAAGACUUUGCUUUACUAUUUUCAUUUGUUGCAUCUGCUGUAACCUUAUAAUUUUUUUUAAUAUUAUUUUUAUUGCUUUCUAUUUGAUCCUUAUAAAAAUUAAAUUUCUGUUUCUUAAUUAAUUGUUUAGUUUAUGUUGAUAAAUUUUAUAAAUAGUUUUUUGUUCUGCAGUAAAUUUUUUUUAAGUUUAUUUUUAAGUAUAUCUCUAUGUUUUAUAGAAGUAAUCAAACCGGUUGUAUCCAUUCCUUAAUUUUUUUUGUGUUUUGAGUAUUUCAUAGGGCGUCUUAAGGUGACUUUUGCAGGGACUUUUUAAAAAUGUCCAAAAAGGAGUUUUGGUUUGUUCAGGAUCCUCUGUACUUAAGACUUCUGACCAAACCUGAGCUGACAAACUCUGUUUUAAGAGAUCAUAAUUUAUAUGGUUGUAUUAGUCUAUUUGUUCUUCAGAUUCAUUGAAAGUAUUAGUGCUUGCCUCAUUCAUUCAUUAACAUUCAGCAUAAUUGGGUAGUGGUCUGUUAUAUGAGUGUUCAAGAUAAAUUAUUUAAAUUUUAAAUUAUUUGUUUUAAUUUUUUGUCUGACAAGUAAAUGGUCAAUACAUGUGGCUGUUUCAUGACUUACCCUUGUUGGAGAAUUUAUGUGGGAUAAAAAACCAUUUUGGCCUAUUAGAGCGAGAUAUUUAUUUACAGUAGGGUUUGGUUUGUUUUCUAUAUUAAUAUUCAAAUCGCCAAUAAAAAUUUCAAUAUUUUUGUUAGGAAUUCUUCAAAAAAUUUAGUUAAAUCAUUCAGAAAUAUGUAUAUGUUCUGCUAUCGGAGGUGGUUUAUAUGUUGCAGGAACCCUGAAUGAUAAACCACGAUGCUCAAAGAUUAUUCUACUGAUAGUUGCCUGUUAUACUUAUAGAAGACCCGAAAAAUAAAUGAUUACUGGAUUCUUGUUAAAAACCCGGGUCUGUAGUAAAAAAUUAAUAAAAAUUUAAGCUUUUUCUUAAUUUAUUAUUCAUUUGUAAAUGGUUGACUAGAAAGGUCACCUCGAUGAGGAUUGGGCAUUUAUUUCCUGAUUAUUAUCCACUCUUCAAUAAUUAAUCUGCUCUUUGUAGAAAUAAUGUGCUUAAUCGUAAAAAAGGUUAAUCUAGUAAAAUAAUUAAUAGAAAAGAAAGUUUUGUUAACCAAACUUUGAAUGAUCUUGGAUAACGUGGGAAGCAGUGCAAUUGGACGGUGAUUCGGAACUUGACCUUUAUCAGCUCCUUUAUGCAAUGGAAUAAUAAUUAUCGUCUUCAGGCAGCAUGGAAAAGCUCCAUUUUGAAAUAACUUAUUAAUUAAAUUGUAAGAUGGUUUAAGUUAUACACUGGGAGAUUUUAAAACAUUAUCAGUGUAAGCCCAUCUGUCUCAGAUGGUGUUUUGUUUUUAAUGUCAUUUAUUUAAGUUCGAGUAAUACAAUGGGUCUACAAAUAUAAUCGGUAGAAGUUAUGAGACUAUAAGAUUUUUGAAACAUAUACAAAAUAAUUGUUACGGGACUCAGGUGAAGUGGGGAUUGAAGUAGACGAAGAAGCCUUAUUUUUUUAAUUCAUUUACAAGAAACCAUAUCUUCCUAUCAAUACUACCUGCUUUGACCAGGCUCUUAUUAUAAUAAAUAUCAUUGGCAUUCCUUAGAGUUCUGUAAUAACUGUAGUAGACCAGGGCUUAUAACGUUUGAUUUUGACAGGAAGAGGAACGGCUUCGAAAGCAGGGCUGGAUACUAAGAAAACUUAGUAUCGACAUCAUUAGAGAGAAAGUUUCAAUCAGUUGUUUAACAUUAGUACUUAAAAUUUAGAAAAUUUUUAUCUUCAAAAAUACGGUAUAAUUUUCGCGUCUUAUUUGAAUUAUUAAAUUUUAUAGAAAAUUUAGUUAGUACUGCUCUAUGAUCAGAGAAACCAGAAGUAAGAAUAAUACAGUCAGCUAAUUCCGGAUUCAAAUAAUAUGCGACAUAGUAGUCUUAUAGUAGGGGAACUAGUUUUAAGUAUUAUUCUCGUAGGAGAAUUAAUAUGCAUAACUAUUCCGAAGGAAUCGAAAAUAGACUGAAGAGAUUCUGGGCCAGCACACACUAGAGAAAUCAAUAUUCGGUUCGCGACAUAAAAUUAAUUUACUUUUUAAAACCAGAGAUUCUAGCAAGCUAAGUAAUUUUUGGCAGAAUAUCUGUACAUUCGCGUCAGCUAUUCUGUAAAAGCAAACAAUAUAGAGAUAGAUAAGAGAUAUGAUAGACAAUGGAAAAUUCAAAUACUUUUUCAGAUAAUAAAUUAUCACGGCAAGGAGGUAACGACGCUUCCAAAAUCGCUGAGAUAAAUUACUUCUAUUAAAUUUAGUUACUAUAGUAUAAUUUUGAACAAAUGGUGGCGUGUUUAUAUCUAACUAAUGUUCAGUUAUAGCAACGAUUUCUGGAAAAAAUUAGUUUUUUCAAUAAAAGCAAUAACAUUUGUGAAAAAUAAAAAAAAGCUUUCUAUCUUCUAAUUUUUCAGGGGGUGCUUGAUCCUGUGGUCGAUCGAUCAUGUUUUUAAUUUUUUUUUAAUUUGUUGGAGAACCACUACAAAAGUUUUUUACUUUCACUCAUGUUAGAGCUGUAGAGGUUUUUCUGAUGAAGAGAAUGACUUGAAGCAACACCUUCUUUAGAAAGGCCAGAGCGCUCACAAUAAUUUUGGCGUGACGUCAUCAUAUGUAGGCCUAACAAAUUAGAUAACAUAGUAGUCGACCGACGCGUGACAGUCGGCGAUAGGUUGUUUAUCUUCCCGCUUUUACUGCCGGUUCCGUUCGCGUUUUUUCAUUUUUACACAUCUAGGUAUAAUAAAAAAUCUAUAAUAAACUAAUCUGAAUACGCCGUAUAAGUUUUGUGCACCGGGAUAUCGGGGAAAUUACUCUAAAAACGGGCGUAAAGUUAUGUUUAGUUUUUCAAAGGAGAGUGAUUUGCAAAAUAAAUGGUUACGAGCAAUUCCGCGAAACGAUUAAGUGCUUUGUAAAUACUCUAAAGUGUGUGAAUAUUCCUAAAGGUAGUACAAUUUGGAAUAUUUCUGAGCAGGAUCCCAAAAUAGGUAAAAUUAUUUUAGUAAAUAAAAAAAAACCUGAUUAAAGGAACAUUCUUCCCAUUCACAUUCCAACUAUUUUUUUCCGAUUGCCCCGAUUAUUUUUCGAAAAAUGUAUUUGUGCGGAAAAGUAAGGAUCAUAAAUACAAGGAACUUGACGAGUUAUAUCUUUUGCAAGCUUUAGAGCAAAAUAAACAAAAUUUUAAUAUUCAUAAAGAGGAGACAUAUUUCCACACUUUGAAAGGUUUUUAAAAGUGGUUUUUAAAAACUUUAAUUUUAAGAAUGGGUGGUUCACAAUAUCAAAGUCUGAUAAUAUAACAUUAUUUAAAUUAGAAUGUACUCCUGGUCCUGUAAUAACUUGGGCAAUUAUUAUCUAACGAUUUAAAAUUAGAGACGUAUUUACAUGGCAUUAUAUUCAGUCCAUUUAUGUUCCGGUACCAAAUUUAAAGUCAUCAUUUGAAACUACCAGUUCGGAUAACUUAAGAAAAUAUGGUUGAUAUAAUUGAUAAUAAAAUGAUGUUACGUGGUGACCAUGACCAGACUUCUAGCUAAAAAAAGCUGAUUAUUCCAAAAGUUACCAAAAAAGUUGAAAUAAAAAUUGUUUUUAUAAUAAAAACAAUAUAUUAAUGUUUGUAUUUUAUAUUUAUUUAAAACGAAGGUAUUAAAUUGUCAACACACCAAAUUUCUACUUUUUUUUAAUAUCAAAAAUUAAUACAUAUAAGGCAUAUUCUUAAAAAAAAGUAAAAAUACAUAUUUCUACAUAAAACCCGCAAUAAGGAACUUGCACAUUUUUUUUAUUCUGAUAUUUUGUAUAUUUAUGCUCCAAAAAUAUAUUUGCCAAAUAAGACCGCUCAAUUUUGUAAAAUAAAUGUAUAAUCAAUACUUAAAGUUUGAACAUCUACUCAUCAAUUUCAAAUGAGCUUAUGCGCGCGGGAACUGUUGUGACGCCACACCGUGUGUCGAGAACCAGAUGAAGUGGUUGCAGCAAACGACUUAAGGUGCUGUUACAUGCAUCCGAUGUCCGAUGAUACGACGGUACGAAAUCGUUCUUAUUGGUCAGAAAUUUGAAAUGUCAUUUUUAGUCCGAUAAUUUUUAACUUUGUACGAUAUCGGACGGGAGUGAAAAUAAUUUCUAUUUUUUCCGUCAUCGGAUUAACUUUAACCUCACUUUUUGAAAUGUUUUUAUUAUUAUUUGUUUCUGUUUCUGGUGUGUGUUUAUUUUCACAAGAAAGUUAUUCACAAAAAUUAAAUUUAAAGAUUUAUGGACGAAUAGCCCUGGCCGCUAAAUAAUAGAAUCGAAUAGCUGCCCUCUCUGGACCCAGAAGGGCGUGAAGCCACAAGAAGAAAAUUAUAGAUUUGUUUUUCCUUUUUUUCGUGGUAAUUUACCCCCUGGGAAUCAUACUUACUUGAAUAUCAUGAAUUUAUGUGAAUACGUAGAUGUCCAAAGGCAAAGAAGACGUAUUAACAAUGUAUUGUUGUUAUCGCUACUUCUUAUCAGAAAAAGGCAACAAAAGAGGCAAAGACGGUUUUGGGUUCAUGACAUUUAUAAAAAUCGGAAAAAUCAAGGAGCCUAUCACAACUUAUUAAAUGAAAUGAAGCUUACCGAUACUGAAAAAUAUUUUAAUUAUCUGAGGAUGUCUAGUGAUUCUUUCCAAGACUUACUUUAGCUUGUGGGUGGAAAGUUGGCUAAAAUUCACUGUGUACGAGAACCCAUAUCUCCAGGAGAGAGACAUUACGGUCUACUACUCUUACAUUACGGUAUCUUGCCAGUGGACACAGUAUGAUGUCAAUAUCCUAUGCCUUUCGUAUCGCACCUUCAACAGUGAGCAUUAUUAUUAAAGAGACAUGUGACUAUUUGGGACUGUUUGAAUCGAAAAGUUUUACUGACCCCAAAAAUAGAUUCCUGGUUGCAGAUAACUGAAGAUUUUAAAGCCAAAUGGCAGUUAUCACACUGUGUUGGAGCUAUUGAUGGAAAACAUGUCAUAAUCCAGGCCCUAGUAAAAUCUGGAUCUACAUUUUUUAAUUAUAAAGGGACGCACAGUUUAAAUCUUCUAGCAUUAUGUGAUGCAAAUUAUAAGUUUACACUAGUGGAUAUUGGGGCAGAAGGUAGACACAGCGAUGGUGGAAUUUUGAAAAACUCUGAAAUCGGGAGGUUGAUAACAACAAAUAAUAUUAAAUUUCCAGCACCAACAGUUCUAGGCGAUAAGAGGAAGUUAUUCAAUUAUUACAUUGCAGCAGAUGAAGCUUUUCCUCUGACUUCUUCUAUUAUGCGCCCAUAUCCAGGUCGGUUUUUGGCACAAGAUAAAAGGGUUUUUAAUUACAGAUUGAGUCGUGGCUGAAGGGUAAUUGAGAAUGUGUUUGGAAUUUUGGCUCAAAGAUGGAGAAUAUACAGAAAAACAAUAAUAGCAGGUGCACCAACUGUUGAAGCCAUAAUUAAAGCCACUGUAUGCCUACAUAAUUAUGUAAUAAAUGCAGAAGCUAACAACAGGAGUCCCAGAAGAUAUUUAACUCUUAAUAGUAUUGACAAAGAAACCAGUCAGGGAGAGAUAAUUGAUGCAGACUGGAGAAAUGAUGAUUCCAUAGAUAGGCUUAUUCCCAAAGGAAGAACAAGCUCAAACAGAUAUGGUAGACCUGCAGAAAUUAUGAGAGAUUCAUUAUGUAAAUAUUUUGUAGGUGAAGGAGCAGUAGAUUUUCAGUGGAAUAAAUAAAAGUGUAAUAUUUG